ensembl:scaRNA Gm22813 predicted gene, 22813
ACUGGAGGAUCAAGUAGGCUGAGUCUGAUGAAGCAAGACUUUGCCGAUACACUCCUAGACAAAGGGGUGAAAGAGCAGCCCUUCCUGGAGAAAACCACAGGGCUCACUGUACUACCCAACGUUU